GAUGAACGCUGGCGGCGUGCCUAAUACAUGCAAGUCGAGCGAACAGACGAUGAGCUUGCUCCUCUGACGUUAGCCGCGGACGGGUGAGUAACACGUGUAUAACCUACCUAUAAGACUGGGAUAACUUCGGGAAACCGGAGCUAAUACCGGAUAAGAUAUUGAUCCGUAUUGUUCAAUAGUGAAAUACGGCUUUGCUGUCACUUAUAGAUGGAUCUGCGCCGGAUUAGCUAGUUGGGAAGGUAAUGGCCUACCAAGGCAAGGAUGCGUAAACGAACUGAGAGAGUGGUCGGCCACACUGGAAGUGAGACACGGACCAGACUCCUGCGGGAGGGAGCAGUAGGGAAUCUUACGCAAUGGGCGAAAGCCUGACAGAGCGACGCCACGUGAGAGAUGAAGGUCUUCGGAGCGUAAAAAUCUGUUAUUAGGGAAAAACAAAUGUGUAAGUAGAUAUGCACGUCUUGACGGUACCUAAUCAGAAAGCCACGGCUAACUACGUG
rnacentral:rRNA from 1 species